rnacentral:rRNA from 1 species
UACGUAGGGUGCGAGCGUUAAUCGGAAUUACUGGGCGUAAAGCGUGCGCAGGCGGUUUUGUAAGCCAGAUGUGAAAUCCCCGGGCUUAACCUGGGAAUGGCAUUUGGGACUGCAAGGCUUGAGUUUGGCAGAGGAGACUGGAAUUCCUGGUGUAGCAGUGGAAAUGCGUAGAUAUCAGGAGGAACACCGGUGGCGAAGGCGGGUCUCUGGGCCGAUGACUGACGCUGGAGGAGCGAAAGCGUGGGGAGCGAACAGG